rnacentral:sRNA from 1 species
GCUGGGCAUGGUAAUGCACGCCUGUAAUCCCAGCUAGUCAGGAGGCUGAGGCAGGAGGAUCGCAAUUCCAGUCUAGCCUGGGUAAUUUAUCAAGAACCUGUCUCAG